rnacentral:rRNA from 1 species
AUUGAACGCUGGCGGCAUGCCUUACACAUGCAAGUCGAACGGCAGCACGGGGGCAACCCUGGUGGCGAGUGGCGAACGGGUGAGUAAUACAUCGGAACGUAUCCAGUCGUGGGGGAUAACCAGUCGAAAGAUUGGCUAAUACCGCAUGAGAUCGAAAGACGAAAGCGGGGACCCGCAAGGGCCUCGCGCGAUCGGAGCGGCCGAUGUCGGAUUAGCUAGUUGGCGGGGAANAGCCCACCAAGGCGACGAUCCGUAGCUGGUUUGAGAGAACGACCAGCCACACUGGGACUGAGACACGGCCCAGACUCCUACGGGAGGCAGCAGUGGGGAAUUUUGGACAAUGGGGGCAACCCUGAUCCAGCCAUGCCGCGUGUGUGAAGAAGGCC